rnacentral:rRNA from 1 species
GAGGAGGGGGUCGCGGCUGAUUAGCUAGUUGGCGGGGUAACGGCCCACCAAGGCGAAGAUCGGUAUCCGGCCUGAGAGGGCGCACGGACACACUGGAACUGGAACACGGUCCAGACUCCUACGGGAGGCAGCAGUGGGGAAUUUUGCGCAAUGGGGGAAACCCUGACGCAGCAACGCCGCGUGGAGGAUGAAGUCCCUUGGGACGUAAACUCCUUUCGACCGGGACGAUAAUGACGGUACCGGUGGAAGAAGCCCCGGCUAACUACGUGCCAGCAGCCGCGGUAAGACGUAGGGGGCCAGCGUUGCUCGGAAUUACUGGGUGUAAAGGGUUCGUAGGCGGUGUGGCAAGUCGGGAGUGAAAUCUCUGGGCUCAACCCAGAGUCUGCUUCCGAAACUGCUGUGCUUGAGUGUGGGAGAGGCGCGUGGAAUUGCAGGUGUAGCGGUGAAAUGCGUAGAUAUCUGCAGGAACACCCGUGGCGAAAGCGGCGCGCUGGACCACUACUGACGCUGAGGAACGAAAGCUAGGGGAGCAAACAGGAUUAGAUACCCUGGUAGUCCUAGCCCUAAACGAUCAGGACUUGGGGUGCCACCCGUUCGGGUGUCGUCCCGGAGCUAACGCGUUAAGUCCUGCACCUGGGGAGUACGGUCGCAAGACUGAAACUCAAAGGAAUUGACGGGGGCCCGCACAAGCGGUGGAGCAUGUGGUUCAAUUCGACGCAACGCGAAGAACCUUACCUGGGCUCGAAAUGCAGGAGACCGGGGUAGAAAUAUCCUUUUUUCGCAAGAGACUGCUGUAUAGGUGCUGCAUGGCUGUCGUCAGCUCGUGUCGUGAGAUGUUGGGUUAAGUCCCGCAACGAGCGCAACCCUUACCCCCAGUUGCCAUCAUUCAGUUGGGCACUCUGGUGGAACCGCC